rnacentral:misc_RNA from 1 species
AAGUCGUAACAAGGUUUCCGUAGGUGAACCUGCGGAAGGAUCAUUAUUGAAUAAACUCGGUGGGUUGCUGCUGACUUUUCGGAGUAUGUGCACACCUGCUUCUGUUUCUUCUUUCACCACCUGUGCACUCUUUGUAGGCUUGGAGUACCUCUCGAGGUAACUCGGAUUUGGAACUGUUCUUUAUACUGUUCCUGUUAUUCCAGCCUAUGUUUUUCUAUCAUAUACACAUGUUUAUAGAAUGUAUAUACAGGCCGUCACAAGCCUAUAAAAUCUAUACAACUUUCAACAACGGAUCUCUUGGCUCUC